AAAGCCAAAAGCGGUGGCUUUUGAUAGACAUCAAACAGCGUCCGAGACCUUUGACGUUGACUGCCCUUUCCCCCUCCUCCUCCUACUCCUCCUCUCUCUCCUCUCUCCUUCCUCGUUGUCUCUUCCCCCGUCUCACUGUUUCUCGUACGUGGACACCGAAUUACCAUUGGUGGCGACUUGAGGUCCGCACGGACAUGGUGGGGUUUGACACUGGUGAAUUCAACAGGAUCGAGAAGAUGAUAUGCCGAACAAUAACAUCAUGUUUCACGUGAGGUCGGGGAGCUCAUUCGGUCACCGCGAUCUUUGCGUGUCCAACGGUGUUUCUGCCUGACAGAUGUUCGACGUCUUGUCUCAUAGUCUUCUCCAGAUCGUUAGAGAUAUGUCACUUCCUAACAGAGACUUGGAAUGCCGUGGGUCUCAUAUGCUUAGCCAUGCAAUGUGAUCCUCAUCCCAUACGAGCAACAAGAACAACAAAUCCACUGCGGGAGAUAAAUUUCAGAGAUUUUUUUUCUCUGUUUGCAUUUCUUCUUCGAUAAAUUUCGAUUAACUUCGUUCUUAAUGUUUGAUUCUCUUGUCUGACUUGAUUGAUUAUAAUUAGGUUUGACUGUUCGGACUAACUUAGAUGUAAAAGAACGAGGAGGGGUGGCUGCUGCCGAGUCAUAUCUGCGUGUCCCGACACUCCAUCGGUCGGACCAAACAGAGGUGGCGGUCAGACAUUUCCACAAACAGGCAAAGGGUGCUCUGCCGGGGGUCAAACGAUACAUCGGAACAUCGGCAAGCUUCAAAACACAGGCACUUCCAAAAGCAACCCAAGACGACGACGCAGAAGGAAGGACUCGCAGAGUGGGGCGGCGUUGGCUCCGAGUACCGUAUGAGACAACAGGGAAGGCAAUCAUGAGCUUAGCAGCAGCGUUUAUUUAGAUGAUCGCAUGCCAUAGAAUAGUGUGAGGGAGACGUCUACAGCAGAGGAUGGAUUGAAAUGCCUUCAAUUCAUUUCACACCAUACUGAUUCAUAUAUGGUGUUAAUUGUGACACUUAAUGUUAAGAACAAAGCAAGAAAUGUUGGUUCCAAAUUAUUAAUAUAGAAAAAAUAUUGAGAUUGCAAAAGGAAA